rnacentral:rRNA from 1 species
AGCGAACGCUGGCGGCAGGCUUAACACAUGCAAGUCGAACGCAUCCUUCGGGGUGAGUGGCAGACGGGUGAGUAACACGUGGGAACGUACCCUUCGAUCUGGGAUAACUUCGGGAAACUGGAGCUAAUACCGGAUACGCCCUUUUGGGGAAAGGUUUACUGUCGAAGGAUCGGCCCGCGUCUGAUUAGCUAGUUGGUGGGGUAACGGCCUACCAAGGCGACGAUCAGUAGCUGGUCUGAGAGGAUGAUCAGCCACACUGGGACUGAGACACGGCCCAGACUCCUACGGGAGGCAGCAGUGGGGAAUAUUGGACAAUGGGCGCAAGCCUGAUCCAGCCAUGCCGCGUGAGUGAUGAAGGCCUUAGGGUUGUAAAGCUCUUUUGUCCGAGACGAUAAUGACGGUACCGGAAGAAUAAGCCCCGGCUAACUUCGUG